rnacentral:rRNA from 1 species
AUUGAACGCUGGCGGCAUGCCUUACACAUGCAAGUCGAACGGCAGCACGGGAGCAAUCCUGGUGGCGAGUGGCGAACGGGUGAGUAAUAUAUCGGAACGUGCCCAGUCGUGGGGAUAACGUAGCGAAAGCUACGCUAAUACCGCAUACGAUCUAUGGAUGAAAGCGGGGGAUCGCAAGACCUCGCGCGAUUGGAGCGGCCGAUAUCAGAUUAGGUAGUUGGUGAGGUAAAGGCUCACCAAGCCGACGAUCUGUAGCUGGUCUGAGAGGACGACCAGCCACACUGGGACUGAGACACGGCCCAGACUCCUACGGGAGGCAGCAGUGGGGAAUUUUGGACAAUGGACGCAAGUCUGAUCCAGCCAUUCCGCGUGCAGGAUGAAGGCCCUCGGGUUGUAAACUGCUUUUGUACGGAACGAAAGGUUUCUAUUAAUACUAGGAGCUCAUGACGGUACCGUAAGGAAUAAGCACCGGCUAACUACGUGCCAG